rnacentral:rRNA from 2 species
UACAGAGGUCUCAAGCGUUGUUCGGAUUCAUUGGGCGUAAAGGGUGCGUAGGCGGCGCGGUAAGUCGGGUGUGAAAUUUCGAGGCUUAACUUCGAAACUGCAUUCGAUACUGCCGUGCUUGAGGACUGGAGAGGAGACUGGAAUUUACGGUGUAGCGGUGAAAUGCGUAGAUAUCGUAAGGAAGACCAGUGGCGAAGGCGGGUCUCUGGACAGUUCCUGACGCUGAGGCACGAAGGCCAGGGGAGCAAACGGG